ensembl:lncRNA
CUAACUUCCACUUCCAGCCAAGAUACACUAAUGGGGAACAGAUUUGCCUUCCUGCAUAAAACAACCCAAAGCCAGAAAAUAUGUAUGAAACAAUGGUUUUCAAGACCCUGGACAUCAGCCAUAGAGAAGGGAAACAAAUGAGGCGAGCCCUGUGAUUGCGUCAGCUGAUUGCCUUGAGAGUUUCCAGGCCGUGGUGCAAGGACAGAAAAGUCAGGCAGAGCUCAGACUCUCUGAGUCAAGGAAACGGAGCUGAGACCUGGAAGACCAAGGUGGCAACAGACUGCAGGACGGGGUACCGGAGGGGAGAGCGCUACACGGAGAAAGAACAGAGAUCUGCAGAGGGUCACCCUCCAUCAUUCAGCAGAGUACCGAUCAGCUGUGUGAGGAAACUGCCUGAGGCAGGGGGAAAAAACCACUCAGAAUCAUUAGAACUGCAUUUCUCAACCUUUUUAAGAUUGUCAGCCCCCUAUGGAGUCAGCUCUUUCAUCAAGGAUCGAAGUCAGCCGUCAAAGAAACUCUCACUCCAACUGUCUGAGGGAGAAAAUAGGUCCUGAGGACCUACAGAACCCGAGGGGGACUCCAGAGACCCCAGAGCCAGCCAGCACCAGAUGCUGACCCAAGGCCUGGCUUGGGGAGACCAGCUCUGGGUGCUGACACCUGAAGCAAACCUUUGAGGGUUCCUGGGUACCCAGAUAUUUCUUGUUACAUACCCAACAGGAGAAUGUGUAAAUAAAUUGUGAUAUAUUCACACAGUGGAAUAGCUUAGAGCAAUGAUAAGAAACAGAAUACCGCAUCUCACCACACCAGGUGUCUCAUGAGUGUAACCCUGAGAGAAAGAAGCCAGACCCAAAGAGCUCUCCUGGUCAACACAGGAAUGUGCACUUUCACGCUCUCGCUCCUCUUCCUCUCCCUUCCCUUCCCCAUCUUCUCCUGCUUCCUCUUUUCUCCUUCUGCUCCUCCUCCUCUUCCUCUCUCUUCUUUUAAUUCCCCUCACUGGCUGGCUUGAGUAGCAUUUGGAUGCAUCUGGGGACUCUGAGCAGACCACCUGGGGGCCCUCUAUAAUUCAGCGUAUUACUGGUGUGAACCCCUAGAUGGAAGUCAUAAACAUGGUCGGACCAUGUCAUACCCCUGCCUAAAGCCUUCUAAUGGUAACCCAUUGUACCUGGAAAGACUUCAGACUCUUUGCCAGCAAACUACAGCCUGUGGGCCAAGUCCUGCUUGCGUCUGUUUUUGUCAAUAAAGUGUUAUUGGAACACAGCCAUGCCUAAUCUUCACAUGUUAUCUAUGGCCGUUUUCAGCGACAACAGCAGAAUUGAGUAGCUGUGACAGAGCCCAUAUGACCCACAGAGCCUACAACAUUUAUUAUCUGGUCCUUUACAGAAAAAAGUGCCAACUCCUGACUAGAAGGUCCCACAUGAUCUGGCCCCUGCCUCACCCGACCCCCAGCCUCAGUUUCCAGGUUCUGUCUCCCUCCCUUGUGCGCUCCAGCCACACAACCUGCUCACUCCCCCUCAGGGCCUGGGCACACGCUCUUUCUCUGCCUCUCCCCAGCACUUCACAAGACUGGCUCCUUCUCAUCAUUCCAUUCUCAACCCGAAUGUCCCUGAGGCCUUCCUUGGUCACACAAUCCCAUUCCUCACUCUCCAGCUCAUCAUCUUAAUUAUGUCUUCCAAAGAUGUGUUUUUUACUUGUAUACUGACUCUCUCCCCCAGUGAGAAUGUAAACACCAUCACGGCCAGGAUUGGUCCAUCUUGUUCAUGAGUGCGUCCCCAGCACUCAGUGCCAUGACCUUAUUAUAGGUGCUCAGUAGUAUUAAGUGAACAAAUGCACAAAAGAAUGAACUUUUUCUGAAAGGCAAUACUCUAUGCUGAAGACCUGGUGUAACAGGGCGUGUUGUAUGCAACCAACGCUCUUACCAUCCAACUAUCACCUACUGUGCGACUUAAUUCCCUUUAACAGCCUGUGCGGUAGGUAGUAUUGCAUUGUGCCCAUUUCACAGAUGAGGAAACUGAAGCUCAGAAUGGUGAAUCAACUUACUCACAGUUAGUAAGUGACAAACAAGACCAGACCUGUCUGAAUUCAGUGCUCAGAUUUUCCCUGGUUGCCCUGUUCUCAAGCCCAACCCAGACGGCUUUGGCUCUCGCUAAUAUUUGAAAGACACUGUCCUCCCAGAGGGGGAGGUGGCCUCAGAAGGGCACAGGACCCAGCUGGCAGACAACAUCUUAGAAUGUGAGUCGAGGCUGCACAUAUGCUAUUGAUCUGUUACCCUCAUUCAUUUUUUUAAAAAUCCAAAUAAAAAUGAAGCCCAGCAGUGAAUCUGAAUUAAUUAGCUUUUCU